UAAGAAGUGCAACAUGUUCGGUAGGUGAAGCCGUGAAAGGGUGAUGUGCCAAGUUCCUUUUCGCAUUAAGAAUUGCCUAGUUGUGUGCGGUAGGUGACCUGAACAUGCUUAUCCUCCCUGCAGGUCAAGUCAAGAACUAUUCCAUUUCUAUCUGCAUCCCCAUGUAACACUAGAACAAUCAGCUGUACCGGGCUAAAUCCAUACCAGAGAGGUGAGACAUGGAGGAUACGGCGGUGAGCCUGUGCAAGUCCGUGCUGGAUGUAGUCCUUGGCCACGCCAAAUCCAUGGUCGCGGAGGAGGUCGCCCUGCAGCUGGGCGUCCAGCGCGAUGUGGCCAUCAUCGCUGACGAGUUCGAGAUGAUGAGAUACUUCCUGAUGACCGGAGACAACAACCAAGAUCUGGGCUGGGUGAGGCAGGUCCGCGACCUGGCGUACGACGUCGAGGACGUCCUCGAGCGUUUGGCCGCGAAGGCGGAUCAGUUGGAGAAGCCGUCCCGGUGGCGCAUCCCUCGCAUCCUGUGCGAGCGGCGCAGGGCCACCCUUGAGGUGAAGGAGCUCUUGGCAAGGGUCGCGGACGUGGCGUUUGUUAGCAAGAGGAGCCUGUACAGCCGCCUCGUCAAGGGCUCCGAAGCUGACCCUGCCACUCUAGCCGUGGCAGAGCAGUCUGAGAUCUUCGCCGCGAUAGCCGCCAUCGACGAAGCAAGGCAUCCCACUGCUGCGGGGCUGGACAAAUCCAAGGUGAACCUCCUCCAGCUGAUCGACGACGGGGUGGAGGACCUCAGGGUGAUCGUGGUGUGGGGAACAAGUUUCGAUCUCGACAAGACGUCUUCCGUCAAGGAGGCCUAUGAUCUUCGUGUGGAAAAGUUUGACUGCCGGGCUUGGCUCAAAUUGGCAUCUCCCUUCCGUCAGGAUGAACUUUUAAGGAACUUGGUAAGCCAGCUCUCCGCUGAGAAAACCGGAGGAACCGCAGAAAAAUAUGCCUUUGCGGAGUUGGAGGAAAUGGCGACGAAAUUUCUGAGUGAGAAAAGGUUCCUGAUAGUCAUCGAUGGCAUAUGCUCCAUAGUUGACUGGGACUGGAUCAAAACCUACUUCCCCGACAAGAAGAACGGGAGUCGAAUUAUUGUAUCCACGCGGCAAGUUGAAAUUGCAAGUUUGUGCACGGAGCGACCUUACCAAGUUUCGGAGCUCAUGCAGUUGGCAUCUGAUCAGGCUCUUUACCUGUUCCACUACAAGGCUAAGCCUCAAGCUGAUUCUGACGAAACCAUCUCCGACUUGAGUACAAUGGCAGUUGCUGUUGAAUCCCUCGUUAAGAGAGAAUAUGACAAAUCCGUUAUUAUCAAAUUAAUUCAUGGGGCACACGAGAGCAAUGUCUGCAAGGUGAUUUCGCUGUGGGGAAUGGGAGGUAUCGGAAAAACCACUAUUGUCAAAAGAGUCUAUGAAAGUCAAGAACUUGCUAGCUUGUUUCAGAAUCGUGCUUGGAUCACUGUAGCUCGUCCUUUCAAUCUUGAGUCUUCCCUUAGGAGCAUUGGACGGCAAUUGGAUGGAUCAAAUGCAGGUUGGGAUAACGAAAUUGGAUUGAGGGAAAUGAUGGACGCGAUUACUGGGCUUCUGGGGCGCCUGCAGAGGUGCCUUAUUGUCCUUGAUGACCUAACAUCUAAAGAAGAGUGGGAUUCGAUUGCGAAAGUCCUGGGAAAGGCAGCGGUCGUCAUAGUCACCACAAGGGACAAAAAUCUGGCCAGUUAUUGUUCGAGGAAUGGUCAGUACAUGUACAACAUCCGAAUACUGUCAGAACACGAUGCAUUGGAGCUCUUUUUAAGGAAGGUAUUUAAGAAGGACGAAUAUUUUCCUUUAAAAUCUGAUUUGAUGGAGGAAGCGAAACUUAUCCUAAAGAAGUGUGGUGGACUUCCCCUUGCAAUAUCUGUAAUUGGUAGCUUCCUCUCUGAUAAGCCUAAAACCAUCGCUGAAUGGAGGAAGUUGAAUGAUCAUAUUAGCUCUGAAUUGGAGGAUAAUGAAGGACUGCAGACGACUCAAGGCUUGUUUUCUCUAAAUACCAUCCUUGAUAGGAGCUAUAACAAUUUGCCUUAUCAUCUCAAGGCUUGUUUUCUGUACAUGGCCAUUUUUCCGGAGGACUACAACAUUAAGCGAAAACGCUUGAUUAGGUUGUGGGUUGCAGAGGGUUACUCAAGGGAAAUGCAGCACAUGACUGCAGAGGAAGUUGGAGACAAGCACUUUGCUGAGCUGUUUGACAGGAGUAUGAUUCUACCAGCGACAAAGGUAACGCAUAGCACUGGGAAAAUUUAUUCAUGUGUGCUCCAUGAUCUUGUCCGUCAAAUCUGCAUCUCAAAGUCAAUGGAGGAAGAACUUGUAUUUACACUGGAGGAAGGGUGCAGUUCAAACACAAAAAGCAAAGUGCGUCAGCUUGCCAUAAGCAACAACUGGAGAAGAGACAAGGAUGUAUUUGACAGAAUUCUGGACUUAUCUCGUCUACGGUCACUUACCGUGUUUGGGGAGUGGAGAUCGUUUUUCCUUUCCGAUAGCACGAAGCUUCUCCGAGUGCUUGACUUGGAAGAUGCUUCAGGACUAACAGAUCAUCAUCUUAAUCAAAUUUGCGAGCUCCUUCACCUGAAGUACCUUUCUCUACGAGGAUGCAAGAGCAUUUUCAAAAUGCCUGACUCGUUGGGGAAUUUAAGACAACUCGAUACACUGGAUAUCAGAGGUACACAUAUAUUCAAAUUGCCGUCCACUUUUAACAAGCUUCGGAAGCUGCAGCAUCUUCAUGCAUCUGCUUGGUUUAAAGACGAACACAAGGCAGGGUCCUCCACAUCUAAUGAGCUUGUAACGGAUAGUUUGAAGUGGCAUGACAAGCUCAACCUAUCCUGCGGCUGCAACAAGAAUUUUUACUUUCUAGGUCGUCCUGCAUCGUGUGUUGUCCAAGUUCCGAGAGGGAUUGGGAAAUUGAAUGCAGUGCGCACAUUGGGUUACGUCCGUUUUGCACAUGGAAAGGGAAAUGCAUCUGUAAAAGAGCUCAAAGACCUUACUCAGCUGCGUAAGUUAGAAUUACACGGUGUCGAGAGAACAAACAGUAUGAAUUUCUGGUCUGCCAUUUCUGGCCACCAGCAUUUGCGGUCUUUGUCAGUGAAUAGGGACUGUGUGGCAGAUGAGUUGGAUUGUUAUUUGGGUGGGAGCUUGUCACCACCAAAAUACCUCGAGAACCUCAAGCUGUGGGGCCGUCUAGUCAGAGUAAUGGACUGGAUAUACCAGCUUCAGUAUCUAUCAAAGUUGCAGCUACAUCGCAGCGGACUGAACCAAGAUGCAAUACAAGCCAUCGGGAAGCUACCAAAUCUGGCGAUCCUACGUUUUUGGGAAUCUUCGUUUCUGGGGGAAGAGCUCAAAUUCGAAGGGGGGUCAUUCCCCAGUCUCAUUCAGCUGGAGCUUCGUAAAUUGUCUGUCCUUACAUCUGUGAGGUUUGAAGAUGGAGCAAUGCCUAAACUCGAGCUGCUGCAAGCUGCCGGUUGGAGCAAACUACAGGAGUUCUCGGGGCUAGGGUAUCUCAGGAGGAUCAAGGAAAUUCAGCUAGGUCCUGAGUUCAGUGAUGACUUCAAGAAAAAUGUACAGCGUCAGAGAACGGAGCAUCGUAACAAUUUCAGUUUGAAGCUGAAGUCAGACCAGUAUACAUUGCUUCGUGACUUGGAGUCAGCCUAAUCAUCAGGGAUCCACGUGUCGUGACUCCCUCGAUCUGUGUAUGCAUCUCAACAUGUCCAUGCAUCUCUAUUUGUAUGUACCGGCUCAGCUGCUUGCUCGGCACUGCAACUAUUACCAGAAACAGAAGAAAACAGCGGAAACGAAAAACUAAAAGCAGGUCUCAUCGAACGAACUAGAGUAUUUAACCACGGCUAUCAGACAAAUCUAAGGGUAAGUACAUCGUUACAUAUCAGCCGUCUCAUAGCUCGUCUUGUACAAUGCCAUAUAUAAUUUUAAGUGAUAUGGAGGAGAGGAAGGGGAGAGAAAUAGGCUGUGAAGCAACAAUCUCAUAAACUAAGAUCUAGGACUAUGAUACUAUCAUAUAUUAUUGUACGAAUUGUCAUUAUCAUACAACUCAUAAUAUUUAUUUGUUCCAUACACUACCUCAGA